ensembl:lncRNA
AUAGGAAGGAGUACACAAAAACAAGCAUAACAUGUAAUAAAAAUACAUAGGCUCUUUCCCAAAUACAGACACAUGUGUACAAUCACCCAGAAGUUAGCAGCAGAUAAUAGGACCAUACACAGCUCUUCGGGUGAUUAAGUGCAUCUAGAGUGAACCUUAACAGUUGUGCCAGGUAACAUCAGAUUGUAGGGAAAAUACACAGCUCUUAUACUGAUUAUGUGUAACUGUGAUACUCUGUGCUUGUGCACAUACGCUGCAAGCCAAUAGAAUCACCUGCACCAUUGUGAUAAUCCUUAAACUCCUGAACUAUUGUGAUAUAGGGCCCUGCUGCACUGUCAUCCUUUGGGCAGGUCAAGAUUUUGUUCGCUCUCACUAAGCUAAAAGUGUAAUUCAUAUCAAUCUCAGCCGGUGGCUGGGAGAGGUGGUUAAGGACCACAGAUUCCAUCCCACUUCUGGAGGCCAAUACAGCUAUGACAUGGACCAAACUGGAACCUUCGGAUGGUUUGCAAUCCAAUACUACCUUGAGCUGCCUGUCUCUAGUUGACCCGUACUGAGCUUUAAACCACUUAGUUAGAUAAUACAACAUCCUUCCAAACUCUAUGGCUGAGGUAAAGUUGUUCAGCGUGUUAUCAACAAUGGAUAACACUUUUAGCUGCCCUGUAACGCACACAGAAGUGCACCACAUAGCCAAGAUGACCUGUGUCUUCAAUACAAAACAGCACCAGUGAAAUCUGUAGGGGCCCAGUAACACAUUGAACAAUCUCGGUAAAUAGAUAUCAGGGCCAAUCAUACUAUCCGUCUUUGGCCGAGCCCGUGUUCCUACCACCACGUGAUCCCAGAACCCAGGAAUGUGAGGGAUGCAUACAUAUCUAUAGGCAACCUCUUCUGACAUUCUCUCGUUUGCCCAAUACUUGAAUGCCAUACCGUCAUUAGCGUUCAUAAGCUGCUUGAAAGCUGCGGGGAGAAAAACACACAGUCAAUACCACACCACACCGUACAUUCUCAGGGUUCGUAGUAAUACUACUAAAUAGAUAGUGAAAGACAGUGAAAUACACAUACCUAUUCGAAGCUUAUCCACACCAGGCGCGUGCUCUUCAUUCAUGAUCUCCUGCACAUAUCCGUUCACCUCACUGUCAGUCUUGAAACAGUCAUCCAGGUUGAGUUCGAGAUCCCAGUCUCCUACAUGUUCAAAACUAGGGCAACUUGCUAGGGUGCUGGCUGUUACAUUGACAGCACCUUGUCUGGAUAAGAUGCUGUGCACGUGGCAACCAUGUUGCUCACGGUAACAGAGUGUGCAGAUUACACAUCCGCAUGCACAUUGAAUGGGUCUGUUGAGCUGAAUAAGGUACUCGUGACAGAUUACGGACCUGUUGAAGGUCUUAUUACAGCUGGAACAUAAGAUCAGUUGUUUUACCAUAGCCAACAUUAGGUCGAUUGACCCAGGGUGUUCUGGGGGCGGUUCAGGUGUCAUGUCUUUGGAGGGAGCAGCAGCUUCGGGUUGCCCAGGUGGCUGGUGCAAUAUCUGUUGCGGCUGUGAAGCAGUUACAGGAGGAGUGUACAAAUUUGGACCAUUCAUGUUUAGAGACACUUCUUUUCGAUUAGACCAAGCACACGAUGACCGUGUAAGGUCCAGGGCCAGUGUGAGUGGUUCAGGUGUACCGCCUUUGGAGGGAUCAGCCUCUUCAGGUUGCCCAGUUCGCGGGUACAAUAUCUGUUGCGGCUGUAAAGCAGUUACAGGAGUGUACACACUAAGAUCAUCUAUGUUUCGAAACAUCUCUUCUUGCGUAGGCCAGGCACACGAUGACCGUGUAAGGUCCAAGACCACUGGGGGUAGUUCAGGUGUGCCUUCUUUGGAGGGAGCAGCCGCUAAGGGUUGCCCGAGUGGCGGGUACAAUAUCUGUUGCGGAUGUAAAGCAGUUACAGGAGUGUACACAUUAAGGACAUUUAUGUUUCGAGACACCUCCGCUUGCUUAAGCGUGGUAGACAAGGACUGUGUUAUAGGCACUUGUUGCAGCACGGGUAUAGGUCUUUGUGACUGCUGGGACUCUAGAUGUGGCACAGACUGAUUGUGGAGCAAAAACUCAUCGAAGAGGCUCUCUAUUUCAGCAGUGCUGGCCCGGAGGCUUGAGUGGGGUUCUAUAUCUGUAGAUUCAGGUACCAUAUCACACACGGGGCUCGGACUGCAAAUAAUGCUAGGACAGGGCUCUGUUCCAACCGCAAAGUGCUCAUUGUUGUAGUUCACUCUAUUCCAAUGUGUCUCAGAUACAUGUGAUUGUGACCCCUCGUAACCUUGGAAACUGUUUGCAAACUCAACAUCCUUCAACAUUUCCUCUGGAUUGCUCUCAUCUGACCUGUACAAAGGGAAAAACACAGGUCAAUGCAUGAAACGAAUAAAAGGCUGGUUCCCGAGAAUUGGAAAUGUGAAAAGAUACACUCACAUAGCACAUGACAUGUAAUCCGCAGUUGCAGCAUUUUUCUCUGAUGUAUCACACCUGGAACUGAUUAAGACCUCUGUUACAGCUUUCUCAGACACAGCCUCCUUAGCUGCGGGUGCAGAAGCAGUGUAAGAUAUUUUACACUUAGUUGGAACUGUAGGUAGGGGCUCCUCGGGAUCGGGCUCAACCGAGUUAUCCUCAUCUACAGCUAUAGACCCGGACUCGGGUUCCUGGGAACAUGUUUCAUCAGACGUGGCAGCAUCUCCCGCUACAAAACGGGACCCGGUCUCCACGGUAUCGGUGGCAUUUUGAUCUCUAGAGAUGGGCUCGGACUCAACAGCGCUCACUGCAACUUGAUAUGUAGGCUGGGAAUCGCACCCACGCUCCUGGGUUUCAUAUGUAGCCUGUGUCUUGUGUACAGCAGAGAAGCAGUUAUCAGUAUCAACCCUGUUGCGCUUCGGGCGGGAGGUAGCACAUUGUGGUGAUCGACUUGUAUAGGAUACAGUGUGGUCAACUGUGGGACAGGAACGCUUGUUGGUAUCACUAGAAUCAGAAUAGCUGACAGGUUUGCGUGUUACAGCUGUGCCGGUAGCCUGUGCGUCGUGUACCGCAGACGCACACGUAUCCCUAUCCGCUGCUCGUUCGAGAGCAGGAGCCCUGGUGCCCUUCUGGGUAGGGCGAGCACUUGCUGAUGGCUUCCCUGUAUGGUAAACAUUGUGGUGAGCACUCUUGUCGGAAAACGUGUGACACGAGCAGUCAGGAUGGCUGACAGGGAUUCGUGUCACAGAUGUACUGGUAGCCUGGGGACUGUCUACGGGAGAUACGCAUUCAUCUGUAUCAGCGGCUCGUUCUGGCCCAUGAACCUUGUUGCGCUUUGUGCAGGAGGUAAAACUUUCUAAUGGCUUACUUGCAUCGCAUCCAGUUUUGUCAUCGACCUUGGAGGCACACGUAUCAUACACACCCAUAGUGUCAUCGCCAGAACCAGAAUCUGUGAGAAGCUCUACCGUCACGGCUGUACUAUCACCUAACUCUUGCCUGGAAUACCUCCAGGCUCUCUUUCUGUGAAAACCUUUACGGAUCGUGGGACACCUGUUCUCUUCAUAGGAAUUGCACUGUGAGGGAGCGUCGAUGGUUUCUUUGACGGGACUGAUCUCAUGUUUCUCAGUGAAAUGCGAUCUGGGCUUACCGUGCCAAGGUACGUUAUUGUCAUACUUGCCACCUUCUCUGGGUGGGAUAUAGCCGUUACCGGAUACAUUUGGAUCACGCCUGGGGACUGCUUUUAGUCUUUUGGGUUGUUCCUGUUCUCUCCUCGGGUGUAUAUGGUGCUCGCGCAUUCUGCCGCUGGCUUGUUCUUGGUUGGUGUCAUUACGUAUGCGAUCGAGCCUAGUCUUAUGGUACUUGUUGAACAGGGCCACCCCGUGAUGGUAGCGAACCCCACGGUUUAGGUAUACCACGCAUUGCAUUCCCAGCAGAAAAGUUUGGCCUAGAGGUGGAACCGUUGGUAUCACGUGGCCGCGUUGAUGCGUUACUAAUGUCCUGAACCCAGUCUCUAUUAUACCCAGAGUCAUCACGAGGACCAAUGGUACGUGGGUGGGUCAUAUAAACAGGAGCAUUCAGGCCACUAGCCUGUUUUUCACAACGGAUUCUCUCACGAAUGUUAUGCACAGGCGAGGAUGUUCCCUUGAGACCUGUAGGCUCCUGUGUUCUUAGGUUCAUUUUGUGUUCAUCAUGAUGUACUCCAUAUCCAUAGUUGCCUGUAGCAAAAUAUCUUUCUGUCAUUUCUUGUUCAUUGUGAUGUUCCCUGUGUCCAUAGUUGCCUCUAGUAAUAUAAGUGUCUGCCAUGUUGUGAUCAAUGUGAUGUGCUCCGUAUCCAUAGUUUCCGGUAGCAAAAUAUUCUUCUGCCAUUGUAUACUGUUAAUCGCUUCCUAGUAGUUGCUUUAAAAAAUAUUGAAACUGUGUUUGGUUCAUAUUUACGGUCCAGUUGCAAUGUGUACACUGAGAUCUGCCCAGUGUCUGUAACUAAUCUUAUACACAAGGGAGACUCCUCCUAGGAAACUCAAGGUCUUUCAAAACACCCUCCUGAUUUAUAGUGAAACAACAGGCUAGAUGUAUCCUUUAAAUUGUUCAGUGAGCAUUAGGUAAUCAGACAUGGUCAGCCCUACAUGGCUACCGGGACUCUGUCCGCCCACAGUGAGGAGUAGGUUUGGAAAGCACCCGUCCAGUCCUGUAAUAUCCGACCGCUAUUUGAGCUGCUCUUCAUUGGCCCAUCGUACCACCCUGUGCUGGGUCUGUGAUUUUAGUUGUUUUGUCUGCUUGUGUCCACUUUGAUAUAUGAACAGAUUUCUCUGAAGGAAACAAGGGGGGAGGGAGAUAGGGCCAGGUCACUCAUAUGUUUAAAAUAGGAACCAUCACCCUCUUUAGUUAAAUGUUUAGAAACGUAGGGGACCGAUACAUACCCAGCCACUCGAGAGGUUUGGAUAGCUCCCGUUCCGCCUUGUAAUGUCCGACUGCAAUUUAAUAGAUCCAAGUUGCUCCUCUUUGACCCGUUGUACCACACUGUGCUGGGUCUGUUGGUCUCUGUCCACUCUUAAUACAUGAAGUAAGGAAACAAGUGGAGAGAUUUUUGGGGGCUUUUUAUCCUUUAAUAACACUACAUAAAAAAACACCCACCCCCAGCACACACACAACCCAACCUACAUAAAAACACAUUGUGUGCUGCUACACCUCCCACAUCUUUCACCACACACACGCACACACGCACACACAUACCUCAAAAACCCAAAUCACAAUUGGACCACAUUUGCCCUGAGCUGUGCACACUGUAUGAGAAUAUUGUGAAGUUCCUCCUUGUUUCGAGCAGGCCCUGUAUAAGACACACAGAUUGUACGAAGUCAAUUUGAAAUCGGCAUCAAAGACUUUUUUAUUAACCCCGUAACGGACAAAUUUCAUUAGUUUAAAUAGGAUUUUAAACUAAACUCGUUAUAAAACAAACAUCUACCUACUGCUCAUGUGUCCCUCAUACCAAUUCAAUGACUUCAAAUGUAAAAUGUAUGAUAAUUUUCACAUUUGCAUGUGAUGGAAAUACAAAUAUCCAAAUUGUUGUCAGUGGUCUCUCUAUUGUAGUAAGAACAUUUUUUAUUUGUAUGUUUCACUAAACCCACAAUUUUACUGUGUUAGCCCUCAACAUUUCAAGUGGUAAUCAGCAAGAAAUGCUUUAAUUUUUAAUUGUCUUCCUUAUUUUCCAAAAAUAUUAAUGUGACAGGGUUGAGAAUACUGUGAUGGGGUUGAAUACUGUAACAGGGUUGAAAGGACACCAGAGCCACUAAACAAGAGAAUUCUUCUUAAUUUAAGAAUUGUCCAAAUUAGCUUUUCAGUCUUAAAAUGAGACAAAGCAUUUAAACUUAAACCAGGAUUACUUAAACCAAAACUGAAAUCUAGACCAUGUAGAAUUAGUAUAGCCAACAAUUAUUUAUUCAAUAUUUCAAGUUUGUAUGCAACACUCCAUUACUUGCUCCUUCUCAAAAAGUGAUUUUCUUAAACUUCACUUAAGUAUUGCAACAACCAAGUGCAGACAAAGUUCUUGUUUCACUAUGGCUAGCUUGAUCUUGUAUGGUGGGAUUCUCAUCUUAAAAAAGCAGAUGAAAAAAAAAUGUAUAUUUACAAGACUUAAACAACGGAGCCAUUGAGAAACAACGUCUAUUGUGCUAGAUAUUAUUUGACCGUUACCUCUGGGCUAAUAAGAGCCCAUACUCGUUUCCUCCUGAGAAAGUGUUCUGGUCCAGGAAAGGGUCUCUCAAAUCAUUACGACUGAGGGUGUGGAGCAAGGCCUCAUCAAUGUUGGCAGCUAUAAAGACAACCCAAUAGUUAAUAAACCAUUAACUAUUUAUAUAUACAUAUAUAUUCUUUUUUUACCCAUUGCAUCUUAUCAAUUUAACAGCAUUUAACUUGACAGGUCAAUAUGUGUUUUGUCACUUUAUCCCUUGUCCAUGUAAUACUGUAAAAACGUGAAUUAUAAGUGCAGUAUGACUGACACACACACACACACACACACACACACACACACACACACACACACACACACACACACACACACACACACACACACACACACACACACACACACUAUGUGGCACAAUAUAUGCAGUUACACAUAAGAUCUGAUGGAUGUUUUUUAUUUUUCAGCUUUGAGAAUGUGUUACAUUUGUUAUAAUGACUACAUCAACAAAAUACAUGACAAUGCAUGUUGUCUGGAAUUAAAUCUGGUUUUGUCAAUAUUUCAGAAAUAUCCUACAUGCAUUUAUUCACUACAAACCAUAACUAUACCUUUAUAUUAACCUUUAGUAACAAUAACAAACCUUAUUUUGUGAUAUUUUUUAUGCCUGCCAGGUAAAGGAUCUAGGGUUAGGGUUAGGGUUAGGGUUAGGAAACAGAUAGAGUGGGUGCCGAAGGCACCAGUGCAUAAACUAUGCACCCGCGGUCAACCCCAGGACCCUCACCCCUCGUUCAAACCCAACGGUUGAGUUGUGCUGAGCCUGUGAAUCCAGAGCCUUUCAACCCUCCUUCUCUGGGCCCUGGACCACCUUGAAUUAGCCUCUAAGACAGUGGCCGCCAGAUUGGACCAGCCCUGUGUACCAAAAUGUCGUACUAGGGGAGUACCAGUGCCCCUUCUCUUAGUGAUGGUGUAUCUGUGUUGGGCAAACCUAGUCAAUAAAGUGUUACCAGUUUCCCCCACAUAUUGUAGAGUGCAGUGUUUGCACUUGAUCAAAUACACACAGUUUUUGGUGUGUACAUUGGUGUUAGCCUGUGUCCUGAAAACCUCCCCACUAUGGCGGUUAGUGGCCCAAAAUGAAUACUUAAAGAAUUCCCCUUUGCCAGCCUGUUUGGGGGGAGACAAAGGUUUCAACUUGGCCUUUACCAAUGUAUCUUGUAAGUUUUUGUUGCGCCUGUAUGCUGCAAUCAACCUAUGAUCAGGUAAGUGGUUAGACCUUUCUGUAAAGGAAUUAAAGUGUGACUUAAUCACCCUCAUAAGUUUUACUGUGUAGGGUGAAUAAGUAGUAAUGACCGGCAAAAUGGAAUCUAAUACUUGUGGUUUAGCUUGUUUAAAAGAUUUGAGUGCCUUUCUAAACAUAGUCCUAGUAUAGCCUCUAGUGGACAAAGCAGAGAACAAUAUUUGGGUGGCCCACUUAAAGUCCUCAUACCUUGUACAGAUCCUAUGAAACCGGAGUAGUUGUGACUUUAAGAGUCCUGCAUACGUAUGCUGCGGAUGGAAAAUAGACCGGAAUAACAGGGCAUGUGUAUCUGUUUCUUUGAAGAAGACUUUAAUGUCCAAUUUACCUGAAUCAAUGAAUGUAGGGCCUUUGUAAGUGGUAGUGUCCAGAAAGUCUACUGAAGACUCACUCCAAGUAGAUUUGACCUUAAUAGACUUAUUGUGAUUGUUUAGAGUAUUAAUAAAUUCCUCAAAGUCCUCCCUCGAAUAGGUCCAGAUCCCCCAGAUGUCGUCUAAGAACCUAUAGUAUUGUAGAGGUUGUUUGGGACAGGUAGCUAAGGCAGAGGCCUCCCACUCUGCCAUGAAAAUGUUAGCAUAGGCUGGGGCAAAUUUCUUCCCCAUGGCAGUCCCUUUAAUCUGCAAAUAGAAUUUAUUAUCGAAUUCAAAAUCAUUCCUAGAUAAAUUUAUAUCUAAUAAUUGAAGUAAUUCCUUAUCAGGCCUUUUACUGUUUGGAUGUUUCAUAAAAACAUUUUUAAUUGAUUGGAUGCCCUCCUUAAUGUCAAUGUUUGUAUAGAGACUUUCUACAUCCAUAGUAAAUAGAAAAUAAUUUAUAGGGAUAGUAAGGUUUUUGACUAUAUCAAUAAAGUGGUAUGUAUCUUUGACAUAGCUGGGAUGACCAAUUGAGAGAGGAUUAAGGAAUGAAUCAAUGUAUUCAGCCGUAAAAUAGGUUUCACUAUUACAGUCAGACACUAUAGGUCUACCUGGUGGAAUUUCCCCAUCUCUGUUCCAGGAUGACCUGGCCUUGUGUAUCUUGGGUAACAUAUAGAACAACCUGGCUCUAGGGUCAGAGUCUCCUUGCAAAUAUGUCUUUUGUUUGUGGUUGAUAAAUUUCUUGGCCUUAAGGGAGUCAAGAAUUUUAUUAACCAUAGGAAUGGUGUCCCUGUAAAUGGGUUUGUCCAAUUUACUGUAAUAUGUGGCAUCGUUCAGUUGUCUAUAUCCUUCCCAAAGGUAUUGAGCCCUAUCCAUAAUGACUAUAGCACUGCCCUUGUCAGCAGGCUUGAUAACUAUGGUGUUAUCAGAAAGCAGUGUUUUGUGUGCCUUAAUCUCCAAAUGGUUUAGAUUUGAAUCCGUUCUACCAAUAGUAAAAUCAGAUUGAAAAUAAUCAAUAUCAUCCUUAAUCAAACGUAAUACACUGGAUGGUAGUUUGUCAGCAGGAGGGACCCAGGUAGACCUAUGUGUAAAAGGCAAAGGUUUAGAAUCAGGCUGGUCUUCAAAGUAUACCGCCAGCUUGAUCCGUCUAUGGUACUGUUGCAGGUCAUGUCUAAUUUGACCUCUGACCCUAGGGUUAUUGUGACCGUCCACUGAUGGAAUGAAAGUUAAACCCUUAUGUAACAAUGUCAGCUGUGCUCCUGUAGGAAUAAAGUGCUUAGAUAAGUUAACCACAGUCUUGUCCCCCGUACCCAGAACAGGAUUCACGGGGACAACUUGUUUAAACAGGUCAGCCAGUGGUCCAGCAUGCGCCGAGCUGUGCUUUGAGUCCAAUGAAUGUUGUCCCUCUCCGUCUCAAACAGAUCACCUGACAGUUUGGGGAGAAAACAUUGUUGUCUGGCAAUGUAAUUGUUCAGUUUGGACAGAUUCUCCCUCUGAGUGGGACCACUACCUGCGCUUCCGGACAGGUGUACUUGGCCAUUCUGAUUGCCCCUUGCAGUUGUUUAAUGGAAGUCUUGUCAGGACUCUGGGCCCUAUUGUUUAUCCCCAAGGCCAAAACUAAGGUAUGUACUAUGGGAGAGGCCCUAGAGCCGGCCAAAAUGGCCUCGGCAUUUCUAAAAGUUGCCCCUGGAUAACAAUCAAUCUGUAGAUCUUUCUGUGCAAAGGGUGGUAUCUAGCCAGAUUGGAGUCUCCAAGCACUACCAAUUUGCAUUUGUAUGAAAUCUUCCAAUCCCUCAUUUUAUUUAGUGUAGUCAUAUGCCUAAAAGGUUUUUGUAAAGAUAAAGGGGAGGAAACCCGUGGUUUGUUGAGAGCAGGAGUGCCCUGGGCCGCAGGUCCCAUCGGCGGAGGGGUCGGUGGAAUGGGGCUGUCUGAGUCCUUGUCCACCAGCGGUUGGUCCUCCUCUGAAGAAGAAUCCGAUGACGAGGAGGUCCCCUGACUCACACGGGCACCAGAAGUAGGAGGGACAAAAGGCCCUGCCCGUCGUGUCGUUUCAUCCUCCGACUCAUCAUCACAGGACUGCCAAUCUGUAGCCGCCCGAGGUGGAGUAUGUACCCCACUGGUCAAGGGAGCGUGGUGAAUCACCGAGGUGGGUGACUCCAGCCUCCGAACCUUCCUCUGCGGUUUGGGUGCCUGUGUUAGAGGGAUAGUAGGAGAAUAUAGAAUGGGGAGGGAGACAAAGGGGGGAACAGGAGAACCAGGGGAGGGGAAGGGGAACGGAGGGGAGGAAGCUCCCUCCACUCUCCCAGGUUCUUGAAGUUUCUCCGGCGACCAGUCACUAGUGGGGGCGGUCAUCGUGCCACAGUCCAUCAUCCUGGGCCUGGCAACCGUUGCAGGGGCCAGGAGUGGUUCGGAGAAUUCCCUCAGGUUCAAGGAAGGAGGAGGAGGGUGCACCUCUGCUGUGACGGUCAGUAGCUUACUCCUCCUCUCCGGUAAAAGAGAUGGAAAAUCCCCCUCUGGCAGUGUUUGCAUGGACAUUACCGGUCUUUGUUCCUCAAUUCUGGAUUCAGAGACACGCUGUGUUCUGGAGGGGGCAAUUAGUCUCUCACGUAAUUGAGUUUGUACUUCAUCCAAAGUGUCCUCCCUCAACCUGCGUCCAAAUUGGCUCUUAGCCCAUGCAGAAGCAAUAUCAAAGUUCUGUCUCCAGUCCCAGGCUUCUAAUUGUAUUAGGAUCUGGACAGCAUUUUGAAUGUCAUCUUGGUAAUGAUCCCUGAGUAUGAUCAUUGUAUUCUGUGCCCAAUACCUAGCAUUCCCCUCUAUGAGGGACAAUGUAUUCGCCGUAGGGGCAGCAGGUUUAAUAGCCGUAAUUAAAUGAUUAGCUAUGUUAGCUAUUGAAAUUGGAGGCUGUUCCGACAUAACAUUUCCUAAAUGGUGGGUAGCCUUAAUUAAUUUUAAUAUACCCCGUGUCUUUGCAGUGAAUUCGGGGUCCGUACUAAUGGGCUUAUCCGACGGUAGGUCCCUGCUAUUCGACCUCCGUCGCCCCUGACUUCGAGUACGUACCACCCUGGACCGGCUGGCAGGCCGGCGCGUCGGACGGCGGUAAUUGUCCCUGGAUCUCCUUCUGGGAUAGGACCGGUCCCCACCACUCCGGGGACGUCGACGAUAUCUACCCUGGUUCGGGUUAGCAUAGUCUUGAGGCCCAUACCGGUGCUGGACAGGCCAAGUUGCACGUGGUCGGCCCUCACGGACAACAGUAGCAUACGAGCGGCCAUCAUGGUUGUAACGAUUAUUAUAGGGAUUAUUAUAACGUCGCCCAGGCGGCGAAAACGACCUUCGACGUCGUCUGGGUUGCUCAUAAUCAUGGUUAUCCCAAUAAUCCUCAUAAUUUCGUCGCCAACGAGACAUUUUAUUCACAUCCAGGAGCCAUCACUGUGCAAAAACUCGAACUAAACUUUUUGUAAAGAACCGAAAAUAAACUCUGUGAUGAUUUCAAAAUUAUAUAAGUUUAUUAACAAUAAAAACUAUAUACAACAAGCAACGUUUCGACCAAGAUUGGUCUUCAUCAGGCUUAUUAAGUAGUAAUAGCUCUCUACCGUGCGUUCAAGACGAGUGCGUGGCUGAAAAGAAAGAGAUGGCGGAAAGUGCGUGCACAUUAGUUUGUACGCAACUUUGUCCUUCCCCUAACUAAUUUUAUUAAAUUUAGAAAUGGGACUAUAAAUUAUAAUUUAAAUCAAAUAAUAAGCCCCCAAUAGGAGGGAAUCUGAUCCAAAACAAGGAGAAAAGAAAUCCGUAAUUCCUUAUCCGUACUUCUAAUUAGCUAAAGAGAAUAAAGACUCCCCGGAGUCAGGGGUCAAAGUAGCCACAUAGGCUUAAAAGAAGGGAGUCAUUAUCUAAAGGAAAGUCCAACUCCACCUUGUAGGGCCAUGGGUAAGGAUAAGGCGCUAAAUUAGAGCAAACCUUGGAAUAGAGGUUAGGGUUAGGGUUAGGUAUAAGCAUAAAAACGACUUUGACCCUCAAGAGUUUGACUCUCAUUUGAAUAUCUGGCUUGUGAUUGGCUGUGCUUCAACUUGGACUAUCUUAGGAACUACAGGUGCGAUUAGCACAGGCCUGGUGUUGUUGGAUUCACAAUUUUCACAGCAAACACACACACACACACACAACAGGAAGGAGGAUCAUGCCCUGGUUCUCUAUACAGGCUACACAGUAUAUUUAUGUAGCACAAUUCUCACCUGGGUACUGGAUGAUAGGGUUAGCCCUGGCUCUAGUUUCUCUAUGCAGGCAGGCAGGCAGGCAGGCAGGCAUGCAUCCCUGGCUCGGCCCUACUCUGCUCACGGGGAAAGAACAGAUCAAUGGUUCAGUGGUCUUGUAAUUUUUUUCCCCCGGAGCUGUACUCGCAGCGUUACCUAAGAAAAUGAAACAAGUAGCACACGUCUUUAGUAGCCAGCUGGCUAGCGCGGACUACUUGCUAACGGGUUA